rnacentral:rRNA from 1 species
CACGUAGGGACCAAGCGUUGUCCGGAUUUAUUGGGCGUAAAGCGCUCGUAGGCGGUUCGGUAAGUCGGGUGUGAAACCCCCUGGCUCAACCCGGGGACGCCACCCGAUACUGCUGUGACUCGAGUUCGGUAGGGGAGCGGGGAAUUCCUGGUGUAGCGGUGAAAUGCGCAGAUAUCAGGAGGAACACCGGUGGCGAAGGCGCCGCUCUGGGCCGAUACUGACGCUGAGGAGCGAAAGCUAGGGGAGCAAACGGG